CGAGAAAGUCGGCUUGUUGAUCUCUGUUUCGGCAGAGGUAGGAAAGUCCGGACACCAUAGAGCAGCAAAGCGGAUAACACCCGUCACCCGUGAGGGUAGGACAAGUGCAACAGAAAGCAGGUACAGUUCGGCUGUAGUGAAACCAGGUAAACUCUUUGCGGUGCAAUGAUAAGUAUAUCGGUUCUUUUCAGAAAUGAAAAUAGGAGUUGCUCGCUCUGAAAGCCGAGGGGUAAUCAGCAAAAGUUUUGCAGCAAUGUAAUACGCAGAUAAAUAACAGGCACUUCUUUGAAGUACAAAAUCCGGCUUAUAGAUUUUCUCGUGAU
rfam:Chryseobacterium sp. T16E-39 chromosome, complete genome.